CCAUUACAUGGGGCAAUCUUUCUGUGUUCCUCUUUUGGGAAGGCAGAUUAGAGCGUAAUGCUUAGGGUUGCCUUAGCCCGUGAUUAUGACUCCAUGUAAUCAGGACUUAGAGCAUCCUGAUUCCUCUUACCUGAU